UGCUCCCAGGUCAUUCUAAGCCUGGACAGGGUUGAGGGCUCCUGCCUCUGGCCCCUACCUGAGAGAAGCCCUCCCUCUUCUACUCACACUUUCCACGCCUCUCACACUCCCCUCCCUCCCACCUCAGACUUCGGAAGAAGGCAUCAAUCGGUGAAACAUUCUGAGCACAAGGCAGAAGUAUAAAACAGCCUGGUUUGCAGAUCCCACCAGUGCGCCACUGGGAUGACCUCUCAAAUAAACUCCUGGCACCCAAAUCCUUGUCUAAGGCUCUGCUUUCAGUAGACCCCAAAGGAGCUGAUUCUGAAGGCCGGCGAGGGGCGAGGGGUGGUCUGCAUUUUUACCAUCAUGGACCGCGAAGCACUCAGGCUGCCCCAGCCUCGUGUUUGCUAGAGCAGCCUGGUCUCCGUGCUUUUGUCAGAAGGAAUCACGGCACCGUUACCCUGCUGUUGUUAUAAGGGGCUACGCCUAAUGCCGCUGAACACAGACAAGAUGUUAGAGAGAGUCUUCCCAUCAAAAUCUUCAAGAGUGAGAUGGUUCUCUUCACCUCUUCCUGCUUAUAUGUAGUUUCACCUGCUGUUGUGGAGGAAAGGAAGACAGAAGCUGUCAGAAGCAGAAGCAGUAGUGAAACCUGAUGGGAGUUCGCACCUGGCAGCUUUGUUUCUCUAGUCACCAAAGAGCCACAGAGGGAACCCGGAAGUACCUACGGCUCCCAGGAUGUGGCAGCGAGCGAAGGUGCUUACCAAAUGGAAUUAACGGUACUAGAAGAUCAAGAAAGUUUGAGCAACUGCAUAUAGCAGCACCAAAUAGGAAGGAAAUUGCUGCUUUUAUCUCCGGCCAUCAAAGUGCCUCACAAAUCAAUAUUAGAAGCUGCAUUUUAUAAAUUACACCAUCACGGGAGAUGUGAACCAGCAUGAAGGGGUGGGGGGAUGUUUCUUUCUUUCUUUCUUUCUUUUUUUUUUUUUUAAGAAAUCUAUUCAUCGUGAAAUUCAGGAGCUAGUAUUUGGCCCCCAAAUAAUUGUUCAUAUUAAAGCAAUGAAUACUGUUUAUUUACUACGAUUAUGAACACUAUGUCAGAUUUAUUAAAAGUUUUGAUUAAAGCAUUUUUUUAAGUUUUGAUUAAAGUAUUUUUAAAACACUGAAAAUAACAACAAUAUCUCCCAGAAAAUAAUGAGUUUCUUCCUGUUAGCUGUCGAAUUAUUUACUCCCAUAACUGAAUAAUAACAGCACAUCAAAGCCGGCAGUAGCAAUGAAAUGAUUUGUGAACAUAGGUUAACAAAUUAG